rnacentral:pre_miRNA from 1 species
CUUAUACUCCCUCCGUCCCAAAAUAAGUGUCUCAACUUUGUAGAAGUUAGUACAAAGUUGAGACACUUAUUUUGGAACGGAGGGAGUAGUAA